rnacentral:rRNA from 1 species
GUGAGGAAUAUUGGUCAAUGGACGAGAGUCUGAACCAGCCAAGUCGCGUGAAGGAAGACGGUUCUAUGAAUUGUAAACUUCUUUUGUGCAGGAAUAAAGUGGGUUACGUGUAACCUUUUGUAUGUACUGUACGAAUAAGGAUCGGCUAACUCCGUGCCAGCAGCCGCGGUAAUACGGAGGAUCCGAGCGUUAUCCGGAUUUAUUGGGUUUAAAGGGUGCGUAGGUGGAUUGGUAAGUCAGCGGUGAAAGUUUGCAGCUUAACUGUAAAAUUGCCGUUGAAACUGUCGGUCUUGAGUGCAAAUGAGGUAGGCGGAAUGUGUUGUGUAGCGGUGAAAUGCUUAGAUAUAACACAGAACUCCGAUUGCGAAGGCAGCUUACUGGGAUGCAACUGACACUGAUGCACGAAAGCGUGGGUAUCAAACAGGAUUAGAAACCCCUGUAGUCC